rnacentral:tRNA from 1 species
GCCGGGAUGGCGGAAUAGGUAGACGCACGGGACUCAAAAUCCCGCGCCGCGAGGCGUACCGGUUCGAUUCCGGUUCCCGGCA